rnacentral:ncRNA from 1 species
UCGGUGUCAGUACAACUGAUGAAAAGGGAAUCAGGUGAGAAUCCUGAGCGAACUUGUCACUGUGAGCAGAUUAGCCAAGCAAUGAAGGGGAAGACUCUUCAGUCACUGGAAACGGGAAGGCGGCUUGGCGGUAACUUCUGUAAGCCAGGAGACCUGCCAUUGAAC